rnacentral:tRNA from 1 species
AAGGCGGUGGUUUGUAAUUCCAUUUAUGGAGUGUGAGCUCCUCUUAUCA